rnacentral:rRNA from 1 species
UACGUAGGGUGCAAGCGUUGUCCGGAAUUAUUGGGCGUAAAGAGCUCGUAGGCGGUCUGUCGCGUCUGCUGUGAAAACUCAGGGCUUAACCCUGAGCUUGCAGUGGGUACGGGCAGACUAGAGUGCGGUAGGGGAGACUGGAAUUCCUGGUGUAGCGGUGAAAUGCGCAGAUAUCAGGAGGAACACCGGUGGGCGAAGGCGGGGUCUCUGGGCCGUAACUGACGCUGGAGGAGCGAAA